rnacentral:rRNA from 1 species
UACGUAGGGGGCAAGCGUUGUCCGGAAUCAUUGGGCGUAAAGCGCGUGUAGGCGGUCCGGUAAGUCCGCUGUGAAAGUCGGGGGGCUCAACCCUCGGAUGCCGGUGGAGUACUGUCGGGCUUGAGGUACGGAAGAGGCGAGUGGAAUUCCUGGUGUAGCGGUGAAAUGCGGCAGAUAUCAGGAGGAACACCAAUGGCGAAG